UACGUAGGCAGCAAGCGUUGUUCGGAAUUACUGGGCGUAAAGGGUGUGUAGGCGGUGUUCUAAGUCUGUCGUGAAAUCUCCCGGCUUAACUGGGAGGGUGCGGCGGAAACUGGAAUGCUAGAGGAUGGGAGAGGUAAGCGGAAUUCCUGGUGUAGCGGUGAAAUGCGUAGAUAUCAGGAGGAACACCUGUGGUGUAGACAGCUUACUGGACCAUUUCUGACGCUGAGACACGAAAGCGUGGGUAGCAAACAGG
rnacentral:rRNA from 1 species